rnacentral:rRNA from 2 species
AACUUUCAACAACGGAUCUCUUGGUUCUCGCAUCGAUGAAGAGCGCAGCGAAAUGCGAUACCUAGUGUGAAUUGCAGCCAUCGUGAAUCAUCGAGUUCUUGAACGCACAUUGCGCCCCUCGGCAUUCCGGGGGGCAUGCCUGUUUGAGCGUCGUU